GAUGAACGCUGGCGGCGUGCCUAAUACAUGCAAGUCGAGCGAACAGACGAGGAGCUUGCUCCUCUGACGUUAGCGGCGGACGGGUGAGUAACACGUGGAUAACCUACCUAUAAGACUGGGAUAACUUCGGGAAACCGGAGCUAAUACCGGAUAAUAUAUUGAACCGCAUGGUUCAAUAGUGAAAGACGGUUUUGCUGUCCCUUAUAGAUGGAUCCGCGCCGCAUUAGCUCGUUGGUAAGGUAACGGCUUACCAAGGCGACGAUGCGUAGCCGACCUGAGAGGGUGAUCGGCCACACUGGAACUGAGACACGGUCCAGACUCCUACGGGAGGCAGCAGUAGGGAAUCUUCCGCAAUGGGCGAAAGCCUGACGGAGCAACGCCGCGUGAGUGAUGAAGGUCUUCGGAUCGUAAAACUCUGUUAUUAGGGAAGAACAAAUGUGUAAGUAACUAUGCACGUCUUGACGGUACCUAAUCAGAAAGCCACGGCUAACUACGUG
rnacentral:rRNA from 1 species